AAACAGAGGGGUGCUCCGCAAGGAGAGCCCUAAGACAGGUGCUGCAUGGCUGUCGUCAGCUCGUGCCGUGAGGUGUUGGGUUAAGUCCCGCAACGAGCGCAACCCCGCCGUUAGUUGCCAGCGGUUCGGCCGGGCACUCUAACGGGACUGCCCGCGAAAGCGGGAGGAAGGAGGGGACGACGUCUGGUCAGCAUGGCCCUUACGGCCUGGGCGACACACGUGCUACAAUGCCCACUACAAAGCGAUGCCACCCGGCAACGGGGAGCUAAUCGCAAAAAGGUGGGCCCAGUUCGGAUUGGGGUCUGCAACCCGACCCCAUGAAGCCGGAAUCGCUAGUAAUCGCGGAUCAGCCAUGCCGCGGUGAAUACGUUCCCGGGCCUU
rnacentral:rRNA from 1 species